UUCUUGCCAUCCUGCAUUGUUUUCAGUUGGCAAUAACUUCAAUUAAUCUUCCCCAAGAUAAGUCUGUUUUGCCCAUGAGGCUUAUUGAUCCCUGUCUUUAUUUCGACCCAGGAGCUUUUCCUCCUCAUUUUCUCCUAUUUUGUUGAGGAGCAGGAGUGAGAGGGUGGCUGGGUGGCCAUCUGUCAGCCAGCCAAGGUCAGCCCACCACACGUCAAGUCUGUCAAUGAUCCAUAAAAGUGAAAUGCAUCUGUAAGCAAGAAUGAAUCAUGCUUACUAAUAUUUUUGAAAGGUAAAACCUGCUAAAACAAUGUCAGCUGUGGCAUGUUGGUUCAAUGUGAAAUGUUCUGCUGAUACCAGUUAGCAGGACUUGCUGGUUGCUGCUGCUCAUGUGACUUGUAAAGUGGAAAGAGGACAUGGCUAUUCUUCUCUUUUUUACCAAAACUUCUGCAGGAGAAGCACAGCUCCAUUUGUUCAGCAACUAUGUGCAUUCCUGCUCUGCUGAAAAGGUGGCCAAAAGGAAAAUACGACUUCUUCUCAUGAAGUAUGCAUUGCUGGAACUGUUUUGCAGUAACUGUAUUUUUAAAAUUGUCCUGUGUCAUGGAGCAGCUGAUAGGAAUGUGUUAAAACAAGCAAGCAAGCAAAAAAAGACAUUAAAAGGCAAGA